UAGAUGCUCUUGCAAGGGAUUUGGAACAAGCAUGCCGUGACCAUAUUGGAGAAAAUGUCGAUGAAAUUCAUGAAGUAAGUGAUGAUGAUGAUAUGGAUGACAACAUGAAUGCUCCAAGGGAUUUUGAUGAUGACUUUGAUGAUGCUACUAUUGGUGAUGAUGACAUUGAGGAGUUGGGUGACACUGUGGGUGAUGAUGAAGAUGAGGGAGACAAUGAGAUCAACAAUGUUGUUGAUUGUGGCAAUGAUGAUUUCGGCGAUGAAGAUGAUGACUUGUUUUAGCCUCUUGUUUAUUUAUUCUUCUCUUAUUUUAGUUUGUUUUGUUAAGGAUAUCAAUGUUGUGCAAGUGUUAACUUGAAGACUUGAAGUUGAAUUGCUAUUUUCUUUUAGUAUGUUCUUUUGUUAAGAUUUGAGGAAAAUGUUUGAAUGACAACUUCAAUUGCCACCUUUUUUUAUUAUGUUUUCUUUGUUUAAAAAAAUGUGCAAAAUGUAUAUUUGAAUUGAUUA